AGUGGGGAAUAUUGCGCAAUGGGGGAAACCCUGACGCAGCGACGCCGCGUGAGCGAAGAAGGCCUUAGGGUUGUAAAGCUCUGUUCUAUGGGACGAAGUCCUUGACUGUGAAUAAUGGUCAAGGUUGACGGUACCAUAGGAGGAAGCCCCGGCUAACUACGUGCCAGCAGCCGCGGUAAGACGUAGGGGGCGAGCGUUGUCCGGAAUUACUGGGCGUAAAGAGCACGUAGGCGGGACCUUAAGUCAGGUGUGAAAGACCGGGGCCUAACCCCGGGGUGGCACUUGAAACUGGGGUUCUUGAGGGCAGGAGAGGAAAGCAGAAUUCCUGGUGUAGCGGUGAAAUGCGUAGAAAUCAGGAGGAAUACCAGUGGCGAAGGCGGCUUUCUGGACUGACCCUGACGCUGAGGUGCGAAAGCGUGGGUAGCAAACAGGAUUAGAUACCCUGGUAGUCCACGCUGUAAACGAUGGAUACUAGGUGUGGGAGGUAUCGACCCCUUCCGUGCCGGAGCUAACGCAAUAAGUAUCCCGCCUGGGGAGUACGGUCGCAAGGCCGAAACUCAAAGGAAUUGACGGGGGCCCGCACAAUGCGGUGGAGCAUGUGGUUUAAUUCGAUGCAACGCGAAGAACCUUACCAGGCCUUGACAUCCUACGAAUCCUUAGGAAACUAGGGAGUGCCUUCGGGAGCGUAGAGACAGGUGGUGCAUGGUUGUCGUCAGCUCGUGUCGUGAGAUGUUGGGUUAAGUCCCGCAACGAGCGCAACCCUUGCUAUUAGUUGCUAACAGGAGAGCUGAGCACUCUAAUGGGACUGCCCGUGACAAGCGGGAGGAAGGUGGGGAUGACGUCAAAUCAUCAUGCCCUUUAUGGUCUGGGCUACACACGUGCUACAAUGGGCGGUACAGAGAGCAGCGAAGCUGUGAAGUGGAGCGAAUCUCAAAAAGCCGUUCUCAGUUCGGAUUGCAGUCUGCAACUCGACUGCAUGAAGUCGGAAUCGCUAGUAAUCGCGAAUCAGCACGUCGCGGUGAAUCCGUUCCCGGGCCUUGUACACACCGCCCGUCACACCACGAAAGCUGGCAACACCCGAAGCCGGUGACUCAACUCGGGGUACCUGCGUAAGCGGGUCGAGAGAGAGCCGUCUAAGGUGGGGUUAGUGAUUGGGGCG
rnacentral:rRNA from 1 species